UGUGGGGAUCCCAUCGGCACCGAGGCCCUCGAUUUCUAUGGGAGACGAAGCCGCGUCAUGCACGGAGGAUGAUAUCCACACUGGUGAAGCAUUGCGAUUCAUCUAUGGCGAUAAAUUUGGUAGACACCAAAAAUUGGGUGUUGUGUUGGCGCCUUGGUGGUCUGAUCACAUAAUAACUUGUGGAGAUUUGAGCGUGGAACAGAACAUAACCUUCAGUGUUUGACAUAUCCUGUGGGCGGUAUCACUUAUGAGCACCUCAACAGUUUAUUUAGCAAGCAAAUGAUCCAGGUAAAUCAUCCAGCUUCGCACCAAAUAAUGUAGUCCUAGUCAUUUGUACUACUGUUAUUAUCUAUGAAUACAAGAAGUUUCGAAAAGAGACAACUAA